rnacentral:lncRNA from 1 species
UAGGUAAUAGAUUUAAUUUGGUAUUUCCCCAUUAACAUCUGAAAAAUAUUGGAGUCGGCAGAUUUUGAAACAGAGGUAUCAUUUUUAACAUGGAUACUCAUGCAAUUGAGGAAACAGUAGACCCUGUGUGUGAUGCCACCUUUCUCGAGAAGACAGCAGACCUCACCCUGACAGUCAGUGUCUCAGCAGGAGCCAGACACGGGGCUUUUCUGUCUUUCUCCCCUCCAGUUAGAGACGGGGCGCGCAGUACACAGUCAAGGAUCCACCGUAGCAGAGAAGAGGACACCAAUUGUUUCAGGAAGAUGCGACUCUGUACCCCUUUCCUCCUUGUCCUCUGCUGGCUUAAUUCUACAUGCAAUAGUCCCAGCUGUACCCCAUGUUGCCAUCUUAUUCUCCCCAUGACAGCUCUCUCCCUUGAGAGAACAAGAAGGGGAAGGAGAGAGAAGAAUCAUUAAAGUUGGAGAGGCACUGAAAUUUUAACACUUCAACCAAAGGAUUAUUUUACAUGUUUCCUCUUUGAAGUGUAAGUUAUCAAUAUAUUUUACUAUACAUAUCUUACUGGUUUUAGAAUGUUUGAGGGCACUGCCCAUUUUAGAGUUUGAAGUAAUAUUAACAGUCAUUCAGUUCAAAACUUUUUCCCAAAGACAAAACAUGUGAAUUGUGAAGAAGCCAAAGCAUUUGAGAAACAGCUUCCUGUAUGUAUAAUUUCUCAGUAAGUCAUGAUUGAUUGAAGAGUUCUUUUCAAAAAUCCAUUAUUUCCCAGGAUAUCAGAGAGGAGAAAAUAGAAUAAAAUAAAUUUCCAGUCUUAUGUUUUCAAUAUAAGAAAUGACAAAAUUAUGAUUCUUUUACCAAGAAUUAUGUUACUUCUUUUGAGUAAUCAUUAACUGACACCCAUCAGUUCAUUUUCAAAUGCUUUCAUGGGUAGGAGAAACCCGACGUGGGACUGCCCAUAGCCACUGGCCUAAACACACACAUGUCAUCAGCUCCUGCUUGAAGACAUGCCCAGCUUCUUAUUUUGAAAAAUUCUCACUGCCCUUUGCAGGCAAAGGGAGAUAAAAGAUAGCAUUUGUUACUCAAUUUGCUCUAUACUGGGUGUAACACUCAACGGCCAGUGGUUUGAUCUGUAAAGCACACAGGGAGAAAAGUGCUUGCUCAGUCUAAGGGAUGCCAACAAUCCUGUUUCCAGAAGGAGCUUCGAACCCCAGCAGUCUCUGAAUUAUGUGAGAACCAUCAGCAGAUGGUUGCUGUAGCAUAUUAACAGGAUGACGUUGAUUAACCUGGCAUUAGAACACAUCUCAAUGCACUUCUCUUGCCACAAGACGUGGACUUUCAAGGCGUUGUUGGCAGAGUCCGGAAUUUGCAUAAUGUGAGAAUGUAAGAGUGGAGGUGAAAAUCUCCUAUGCGUAUCAGACCUAUCAGAGGACAGCCUAGAGGCAACGUUUUAGAAAAGUUUCUAAAGCUGUGGCCAUCUGGGAUAUUUUCAAGUUUCAGAAAAGUCUGCCCCGAGCUGAAAGGGCUCUUCACAAUCUCUUCUUCGCGACAUUACUUUCUGUCUCAGGGGAUGUACAAGACGAGCUUGAAGCACCCCAUAGUGACAGAAAGAAAACAAAAUGCUCAAACACACCCCAUCAUGUUCACACACACACGAUGGAGCUAUGCCAAAGAGACACAGGAAUCAACUGGAAGAGCUCCCAGUGGUCAAACCUGGGACGAUUUGAUCAAGCAACAUAAAUAAAAUGCUUAGAUUAUAACUAAAACUAUGACAUAAAAAGCUGUACCUAGAGAUAUAAAGAGCCGGGCGCGGUGGCUCACGCCUGUAAUCCCAGCACUUUGGGAGGCCGAGGCGGGUGGAUCACGAGGUCAUGAGAUCAAGACCAUCCUGGUUAACACGGUGAAACCCCGUCUCUGCUAAAAAUACAAAAAUUAGCUGGGCAUGGUGGCGCAUGCCUGUAGUCCCAGCUACUCAGGAGGCUGAGGCAGGAGAAUUGCCUGAACCCAGGAGGCAGAGGUUGCAGUGAGCCAAGAUCGCGCCAUUGCAGUCCAGCCUGGGUAACAAGAGCGAAACUCCGUCUCACAAAAAAAAAAAAAAAAAAAAAAAGAGAGAAAUAAAGAGUACAUAGAGAUAUAAAUAACGAUUGAAUAAAUACAUAAAGGGCAGAAGAGGCACAUCUCCAGUGAAGAGGAUUCCAAAUAAUUUAUGUACGUAUUCUGCCCUCAAGUAAGUGAAGCAGGAUAUUUCCCUGAUUCUUUCACAGGAUUCACAAAGGAGUGCUUCCUUCACCCGCCUGCAGCUGUCAACUCCUCGUGGGAGGGAGCAUGCCAGCACAUGAGGCCAGAACUGGAGCGCAUGAAUGCUGGAACCAGCUGGCUGCUUCGGUGUGGCAGAGGCAAACUCCAGUCAGAACGACUGCAUUCCACCCCUCACGGGAGAGAGCACACACAUGAGCCGGUGCAGGAGCCGGGGCUAGCGCUUCUGGGUUCUGGCCGCAGUGAACCUAGUGUGGCCUUGCAGCGGUGUCCUGGGAGGAUCCACGACCCCUGAAUUGCCAGAGGGAAUGUUAAACUGCUCUUUUAGCUCAGCCAUCUAUAGAUGGCUUACGUGGUAGCAGCUCAUUGGGCCCUCUACCUUUUCACAUGAGGUGGUCAACUUCUGGCAGCAAGGGCAGAGGCAAGUAUGACAGCCUUUUGCAUCUGUAUUUGUGGCUCCCAAGCUCUUGUCUAGCAUCCAGGAGAAAUGAGGUCACAUGAAUGAAUUGAAGAAUGGUAAAGGCAAUGAUUUUAUUGCCAAUAAAAGUGGCCCUCAGCAGGAAGGGGAGCUGAAAAGGGGACAGGAUGGGAAAGUAAUCUUCCCCUGAAGUCCGGACAUCUGCAAACAAAUUCUUCUCUGCUGUCUGGUCAUCUGCAGCCAAAUUCUUCUCUGAAGUUACACCAUCAAGCUGCCCCUCUGAAGUCAAGCUUCUUCUCUGAUAUCCAGCUGCUUCUCUUCUCUGCCAGCUGAGUAUGGGAUUUUUAUAUGCACAGGAUGGUGGGGUGGGACAGGGCCAUGAGUGGUUUUGGAAAAGGCAACAUUUGAGCAGGAAAACAGGGAUGUAAGCUCUCACUUUGGGCCAUGGUCUCAGGCUUUUCAGCUUGAAGGUGGUGCCUCACCAGGGACCUGCCACUGUCUGCCUAGAAUUUCUCUAGGCAGGUUGCACAUAGUAUAGAAAAGGAGAGUAAAGAGUAACUUUGCAGUGCAGGAUCUUGGCAAACAUAACCUCGGCCAGGUGGUCAGGGUCAGCAUCAACCGGGAUCAGUCAUGUUGAUAGUGUAUACCAUUAGUAGGAUGUAAUGAAAAUCAAGCUUUACCUAUGCAAAAACCCAUAACCCAUAACCCCAGUCUAAAAUGGAGAAACAGAUAAAUCCUAACAAGAGGAACCCAUUACGAAUUUCCUGAUCAGUGUUCCUCAAAACUGUCAAGGUCAUUAAAAACAAGGGAUAUGGGAGAAAGUGGUGCCACCAAGAGGAGCCUGGAAGACACAGUGAGUAAAUCGAGUGCAGAAUCCUGGAUGGGGCUGGAACAAGAAAAGGACAUUGAGUACAAAUAAGGAAACCUGAAUAAAUUAUGGGCUUUACUUAAUAACAA